GAUGAACGCUGGCGGCGUGCCUAAUACAUGCAAGUCGAGCGAACGGACGAGAAGCUUGCUUCUCUGAUGUUAGCGGCGGACGGGUGAGUAACACGUGGAUAACCUACCUAUAAGACUGGGAUAACUUCGGGAAACCGGAGCUAAUACCGGAUAAUAUUUUGAACCGCAUGGUUCAAAAGUGAAAGACGGUCUUGCUGUCACUUAUAGAUGGAUCCGCGCUGCAUUAGCUAGUUGGUAAGGUAACGGCUUACCAAGGCAACGAUGCAUAGCCGACCUGAGAGGGAGCACGCACACCGGGAAACAGAGACGGGGCACAGCCCCCAGGGGGGGACAGAGGGGGAAAAUUUGCCGAAGGGGGCAAACCUGAGAGGGACAAGCCGCGGGUGGGAAAAAAGGGUCUGGAGUGGAAAACACUUUUUUUUGGGGGAAAAAAUAAUGAGUAAAUAACGGGCAAUUUUUAGGGGAACCUAACAAAAAACCCCGGGGUAACCCGCG
rnacentral:rRNA from 1 species